rnacentral:rRNA from 1 species
AUUGAACGCUGGCGGCAGGCCUAACACAUGCAAGUCGAACGGUAACAGGAAGCAGCUUGCUGCUUUGCUGGCGAGUGGCGGACGGGUGAGUAAUGUCUGGGAAACUUCCCGAUGGAGGGGGAUAACUACUGGAAACGGUAGCUAAUACCGCAUAACGUCGCAAGACCAAAGAGGGGGACCUUAGGGCCUCUUGCCAUCGGCUGUGCCCAGAUGGGAUUAGCUAGUAGGUGGGGUAAAGGCUCACCUAGGCGACGAUCCCUAGCUGGUCUGAGAGGAUGACCAGCCACACUGGAACUGAGACACGGUCCAGACUCCUACGGGAGGCAGCAGUGGGGAAUAUUGGACAAUGGGCGAAAGCCUGAUGCAGCCAUGCCGCGUGUAUGAAGAAGGCCUUCGGGUUGUAAAGUACUUUCAGCGGGGAGGAAGGGAGUAAAGUUAAUACCUUUGCUCAUUGACGUUACCCGCAGAAGAAGCACCGGCUAACUCCGUG